AGAGCGAACGCUGGCGGCAGGCUUAACACAUGCAAGUCGAGCGGGCGUAGCAAUACGUCAGCGGCAGACGGGUGAGUAACGCGUGGGAACAUACCUUUUGGUUCGGAACAACCCAGGGAAACUUGGGCUAAUACCGGAUAAGCCCUUACGGGGAAAGAUUUAUCGCCGAAAGAUUGGCCCGCGUCUGAUUAGCUAGUUGGUGAGGUAACGGCUCACCAAGGCGACGAUCAGUAGCUGGUCUGAGAGGAUGAUCAGCCACAUUGGGACUGAGACACGGCCCAAACUCCUACGGGAGGCAGCAGUGGGGAAUAUUGGACAAUGGGCGCAAGCCUGAUCCAGCCAUGCCGCGUGAGUGAUGAAGGCCCUAGGGUUGUAAAGCUCUUUUGUGCGGGAAGAGUAAUGACGGUACCGCAAGAAUAAGCCCCGGCUAACUUCGCGCCAGCAGCCGC
rnacentral:rRNA from 1 species